AGAGUCAACGCUGGCGGCGUGCCUAACACAUGCAAGUCGCACGAGAAAGUGGAGCAAUCCACGAGUAAAGUGGCGCACGGGUGAGUAACACGUGAAUAAUCUACCUCCGAGUGGGGAAUAACUGAGAGAAAUCUUAGCUAAUACCGCAUAAUACCCACGGGUCAAAGCAGCAAUGCGCUUGGAGAGGAGUUCGCGGCCGAUUAGCUAGUUGGCGGGGUAAUGGCCCACCAAGGCGAUGAUCGGUA
rnacentral:rRNA from 1 species